rnacentral:rRNA from 1 species
CACGUAGGCACCAAGCGUUGUCCGGAUUUAUUGGGCGUAAAGAGCUCGUAGGCGGUUCAGUAAGUCGGGUGUGAAACUUUGGGCUUAACCCAAAGCGUGCAUCCGAUACUGCUGUGACUUGAGUUCGGUAGGGGAGUGGGGAAUUCCUAGUGUAGCGGUGAAAUGCGCAGAUAUUAGGAGGAACACCGGUGGCGAAGGCGCCACUCUGGGCCGAA